GACGAAACUAUACCAUGUGUUGAAAUAAUAAAAAUGGAAGAAACACUCUUGAUAUUGCAUAAGAAAACUCUUCUCCAGGUUAAGUAUAAUAUUCUUUGCCCAAUCAAAAAAACUUAAUGAAGAUGAUAUAUGUGAACUUCUUCUUGCUUUAUAUAAACAUGGAAGCUGCAAAUGUAUGACUAAGAAUUUUUAUAUACAAACAAUUAUAAAUCAGUCAUAAUGAUCAUAAUAUAGGGUUUAUUAGAUUAAUGAACAAUCUAGAGGAAUCCAAUCCUUCUUAGCUCUCAAGUUUAGUUUUCAAUUCAUCUCAUUUGUCUGGUCUAAUUUGAAUUUGAUGAUGAAUAGUGUGAAUGUGUGGCUUAAAACGAGCAACAACUAAUUAACGAAUCUGAUAUUUUAGGUCCAUGGAUGGGGAACUUGUACUUCAUUGUGAUUUUACUGCAUUAUGUAUUUUCCAUUAGCAUUUUUCUUUGGUUUGAAGAGAGCAGGACUAGUUUGUAGAUUUGUAUGUAGAGUUCAUUAGUACCAAAACUCAACUCAACUCAACUCA
rnacentral:misc_RNA from 1 species